AGACCCCAUGGAGCUUUAAACCUGACUACACCCCUAUCUAUUAUACCCUUAAAUCAACAGGGCCUUUGUCUGUCGGUUUUAGGUUGGGGUGACCGCGGAGCAUAAAUUAACCUCCAAGAUGAACUGGACUAACCCAUUAUCUAAGAUUUACACCUCAAAGAAUCAGCACACUGACAUAAAAUGAUCCGACAUUCGAUCAACGAACCAAGUUACCCUGGGGAUAACAGCGCAAUCUACUUCAAGAGCCCCUAUCGACAAGCAGGUUUACGACCUCGAUGUUGGAUCAGGGUAUCCUAGUGGUGCAACAGCUACUAAAGGUUCGUUUGUUCAACGAUUAAAACCCU
rnacentral:rRNA from 1 species